GCUGAAAUAACUCAGUUGGGAAAGUGUUAGACUGAAGAUCUAAAAGUCCCUGGUUCAAUUCCAGGUUUCGGCA